rnacentral:lncRNA from 1 species
AGAUAUAAUAUCUGUCUCUAUAUUCAGUUCCUCUCCCCUCUCUAUUUAUAUUUAAUAACUGAAACAGUGUGUUGAGUUCCCUUGGCACCUGUUCUAGAGGCCUCUUAGAUUAGGCUGCAUCCUGCAGACCAUUACACCUGAGGAAGAAGAGGGAAGAGUGAGAAGAAAGCUGUGGACAGUAUUCUCCUAAGCAUAGGUGGAGAGAGGGGAAGGAUUACAUCAUGAAGGAGGCUCAAUGCUAGGGCCUGGAGUGGACCCUAACAGCAUUCCAGGCUAGUGCUUUUCUGCUUUCCAGCCACACCGCCGCCUCCGCCGCCACCUCUGCCGCCGCCUCCACUGCCGCUGCUGCUUGACCAUUUUCCAGUCCAAGCCCUCUUACAUUUAUUUUGUUCUUUUUGUUUUUGAGACAGAGUUUCUCUGUGUAGCCCUGGCUGUCCUGAGACUUGCUGUGUAGACCAACGUGGCUUCAGACUACUCAGAGAUCUGCCUGCCUCUGCCUCCUGAGUGCUGGGAUUAAAGGCAUGUGCCGCCAUGCCCUGUACUGUUUCUAUGUCUGAGAGACUCACCCUGGUGUCUGGAUGUUGUUGUGUCAGAGGUGCUAUGGUAAAGGAAGUCCUUCGAGAGUCCUGGAUAUCAGCCAAAGCUUCUGGUCACUAGAAAAGAAUCCUGAGCUCUUGACCAGAAAACCCUCAACUGAUUUGGCAGUGGAAACUAUACAAUAUCAUCAAAAAGGAGACUCAAGGGGGCUUCUAUUAGAAGUCAGUCUUGGACACAGUGGUAUACACCUCUAGCCCCAGGACUCAAGAGGCUGAGGCAGGUGGACUGCCAUGAAUGCAAGGCCUAUGUGGGUUAUAUAACGAACAACAGGCCAGGCAGGGUUCACAGCAAAGCCCUGUCUCCAAAAGGAGUUAAGGCUAAGGCUUGAGUCCACCCAUUCCUAGUCUCCUAUGUUCUGGGUUAUUCUACUUAAUCUUUUAAACAUCACUAAAUCUGUAUGGCGCAGCAUUUACCUUGUUAGACCUUAGCAGAACCAAUUACAGUGAUACAUGAAAGAAAGUACCCUGGAAUUGGACAAAUUUAAUUUAAAUAUUUUUUAAAGAUUUAUUUAUCUUAUGUGAAUGCGUUUUCAUGCACACCAGAAUGGAUCCCAUUGCAGAUGGUUGUGAACCACCAUGUGGUUGCUGGGAUUUGAACUCAGGAUGUGUGAAAGAACAGCCAGUGCUCUUAACCGCUGAGCCAUCUCUCCAGCCCCUAAAUAUUAUUUUAAGGUAGGAAGAAGACCUGGUUUUUGGAAAGAGGGUGAUGUAUUGAAUUGAUCCCACUGGGCUUAGGAACAGCCCUUUCCACAGUCCUCCAAACUGCCUAGCUUCCUUACAUUGUUGACAUUCAGGCUGUGGCUCUGCCUUCUUUCUGGUCAGUAGUAAUUCAAAUCGAACAGGACCUUGAAAAGGUCAUAUGGUGUCCUUUUGUUCUUGUUUUGUAUUUUUUGUUUCUUUUGUUUUAUUUGAGACAGGAUUUCUCUGUAUAACAGCCCUGGCUGUCCUGGAACUCUUUGUAGACCAGGCUAGCCUCAAACUCACAGAGACCUGCCUGCAGUCUGCCUCCCGAGCACUGGGAUUAAAGGUGUACUAACAAGUCCGACUUAUGUGGUAUCUUUUUUUUAUCUUUCUUACUUUCUAGUCCCAACCUUAGACUUCUAGUCCAAAGGUUAGCCUAAGUGACUAAUACAACAUUCAUAAUGGUGUCCUCUCUCAGUCCCUCUCUCAGAGAGACACACAGACGACUCUCUGCUCCUUUCCCUGGCCACUAACUUCCUUGCUAGCCACCAUGCUAGCUCACAGACAUGCAAUUGUGCCCACCAAACCCCCCUUCACCAAACCUCUUCCAACCCGAGCCUUCUGUGGGAGACAGAUGGGGUGUCUGCAGUGGAAAAGGCUCUGGGCUCUAUGCCGCCUUAGUAAGCAGCCCCCUCCAUCUCCUCACUACUCCCUCUCACAACCUAAGACACUCAGAUUCACCCUUGGCAGCCCUGGUGGCUGCUGAGGAUUCCGUCUCUCUUCUCAGGCUCGGGCUCAGAAGAAGAGCUUAGGAUAGCAUUUGCCUCCUGAGACCUAGACCCUUCAUGAAAGUACAAUGCAAAGGAAGUCCCUCUCGGUGGGUGCCCGUGUGAUGGGAUCAAUGUGGGGGACCUGUGUGGCCUUUCUCUGAGAACUAGACGGCCAGGGUUUAGGACCUGAGUUGACAGAAGAGGCUAAACCUGUGAAGCAUCUUUGUUCUAGAAACCCGGGGUCCCUGGAGGGAAACUCAGCUUGGGAAAGGGAAAAAGAACUAACAUUACAGAGCACCAACUGUGAGGCAGGCACGGUGCCAGAGCAUUUCCAUACCUGCACUCAACCAGGGAGGGAGGAGCCGGGGGUUUGUCUUGGGCCCUCAGGAUCACAACACAGGUAGCCACCUAGCCUCUGCUUUUGUGGUACCGCAACCAAUUGUCCUCCCCAAGACCAGUCUUCUUCUGUCUCUUCUGUAUGCUGACUUUACUCCUGACAUUCCAGCAGCUCAGCCCCAUCCCAUUAUGCUUUUCAUGGUGCUGUACGUCCUGCUUUCUGAGGUCUUCACAUAAUUCCCAUGUGUUUGCGCAACCAUUGGAAUUUUUAAAAAUUAUGUGUAUGUGUAUGGGUUUAUAUGUAUGCAGACAGGUAUCCACAGAAGUCAGAAGGGGUCAUCAGAUCCCCUGGAACUGGAGUUCACUGAUCAGCUGUGAGCCCCUCCCUUGAUAUGUGUGCUGGGAACUUGAAUUCAAGUCCUCUGCAAAGGCACUAUGUAUGCCCAACCACUGAGCUGUCUCUCUAGUCCUUUGUCCAGCCAUUUGAGUGACAGUCUUUGUUUGCUUUGAUGACAAGUUUCAAAAGAGCAGUUUGUGUUCACCUAUGUGUUCUCAGUACCUAGCACAGUGCCCAGCAUAAAACAGUUAUUUGGAAAGUAUUUGCCGAAUGAAUAAUAAAAGAUAUAUUUCUGGCCUAAAU